AUACCCCUGCUGUGUGCGUGGCGCUUGUGGAAACUUUGAGCCAACACCUUUAUAUAGGGAGCCUGAUCUCAGAUGGUGGAUGUGGCACGCUCUUUCAACAAAGAGAAACCCGGAAGCCUUUGAUAGGGCACCCACUUUUAAAUAAGGGUUCAAAGUCAAGCAAAUCGCCCGCCACCUGCGGGGUUUUU
rnacentral:other from 1 species